AAAAGCAAUUUGCAUGUCGAUAAUGUUUCUUCAUCGCUAAAAAUGAAUUCUGCAGUUAUUGCGUUGUUUGUGUGCCUUGGGAUUUUCAUCACAGGAAGCGUUGGUCGUCCUCGUUGUCCACCAUGGAUGAUACCGCGGCCUCCUUGUUUUUUCGAUCCAUGUAAGGAUUAUCGUUGCCACAAUCCACCCAAUCUUACGUGCAGGAGAGACUCUUGUGACGAUUGCCGCAAGAAAUGGUUCAACGACAACGGUGUAGAAACAAAAUGUGACAGUGAAGUAUCGUACUGAGGGAACAUUCAUUCGGCUAGAGACGUUGCAAAUAUGGAUUAUGUCAAGAAAUAUGUUAUUGAUAUGUAAUGGAGUUAAAUGAAAUUGAGCUGGUUGUAAAUGGUGUCAUUGUAAUAUUUUUCUAAAUAAAUAUACUAUUUAUGCAGUUCGACAACUAUAUACACAGUUUUAUGAUCUUCCAAUACGAACGUAUGUCAUCAAUAUUUAACUGUAUAUGCGUUUUUUGCUUAUAGUCAGAAUAUUCUCUGAACAUUUAUGCACGUCAUUUUUAAUAUAUAAUAAUUGCAUACCAAUAUGAAAAUAUUUGAAGUUUUACAAUUGUAUUUAAUGCACCGACAUACAUUUUGUUCAAAUAAGAGGAUGUAAUAGUUUAUAGCAAGUAUUUAUACAUCAAUUAUUGUUGAAUACGUGG